UAGGUAAUGUACCUUUGGGUGGGGAAUAACAAUCGGAAACGAUUGCUAAUACCGCAUAAUGCAGCGGCAUCGCAAGAUGACAGUUGUUAAAGAUUUAUCGCCUGAAGAGCAGCCUGCGGCAGAUUAGCUAGUUGGUAAGGUAAUGGCUUACCAAAGCUACGAUCUGUAACCGACCUGAGAGGGUGGUCGGUCACACUGACACUGAAUAACGGGUCAG
rnacentral:rRNA from 1 species